UGUGAUGAUUGUCACUGAGCCAGGGAA
rnacentral:piRNA from 1 species